rnacentral:rRNA from 1 species
UAAGGAAUAUUGGACAAUGGACGGAAGUCUGAUCCAGCCAUGCCGCGUGCAGGAAGAAGGCGCUCAGCGUUGUAAACUGCUUUUUGAAUGGGAAUAAUACUGUCGACGCGUUCGGCAAUUGAAGGUACCAUUAGAAUAAGCACCGGCUAACUCCGUGCCAGCAGCCGCGGUAAUACGGAGGGUGCAAGCGUUAUCCGGAAUCACUGGGUUUAAAGGGUGCGUAGGCGGUUUGAUAAGUCAGUUGUGAAAUUCUCCGGCUUAACCGGGUGGACUGCGAUUGAUACUGUUGGACUUGAAUUAGGUUGAGGUAGGCGGAAUGUGGCAUGUAGCGGUGAAAUGCAUAGAUAUGCCAUAGAACACCGAUUGCGAAGGCAGCUUGCUGGACCUAUAUUGACGCUGAGGCACGAAAGCGUGGGGAGCAAACAGGAUUAGAUACCCCCGUAGUCCCUGAGCGGGCUGGCAAGGCGCAU